rnacentral:lncRNA from 1 species
GGCCAUGUCGGCCACCGGGAUGAGGUGGCCCGGCGCGACAAACGGGAAGAAGAGAAGGUGUAGUGGCCGUUGCUCAUCGUUGGAUGCCAUGGCUGCUUGCUUGGCACUUGGCAGCGCCCUUCUUCCUCGGAACACAGACAGCUACGCAGGUCAGAUCCCCUUCUUCCUCGGAAAAUUGGAUAUAUUCCUUUAUUUGCCCGGGAUGUCGAAGCAGUUACAGUCCCGUAUGCAUCAUCUGCUGCAGGAUAUAAGACGAAUCAGAAGAAAUCGAAAGGAAAUGGAGAAGAGAACACGAAUCCGGAGAAAACCUACCAUCACUUGACAGAACAGAGCUGGGAAAGUCUUGGCACCCCUGGGCUUCGGUGGCGUCCUCUGAGCCGGAUUGAAUUUGAG